UUAACUUUUAAAACGGUUUACAUUUUUUUAAACCGUUUUUAAGUGUUUACAUGACGUUAAUGGGUCUUAAUUUCAAAACGGUUUAAUUUCCCGUUUUAACGCUAUCAUAUAAACGUAGAAAUUGUGUUAGAUAUAAUGUUUUAACAAAAAAUAUUAGUAACUUAUUUUAACUGUUAUUUCGAUAGUAACAGAAGCAGUUUAUAGCAGUUUUUAGAAUUGAUAACAGGUUACCAUCACUAAAAUAAUGGUGAUAUUGUGUCCGAUCAUGUAAUAUACGAGUAUCUAUUAUCACAAAAGUGAGCACAGGAAAUAUAAAUUACAAAUUAUAAUUAAUUCAUAAUUUACAAAUCAUUGUAUGUAUGUUUAUAAUUUUAAAUUCUUAUUGGAAGAAAAGAGCUGUUCCACAGAUUUUGGUUUUUAUGGAUUAGGCUGUUCUGGCUCUAUGUGCCUCAAUUGUUUAUGUUAUGUAACUAAUACAAAUACUAUAAAAAUUUAGUUUCCUUGUUGAAUACAAAAUAGCAGAACUCAAUUAUACUACUAAAAAACUGGUGAACACAAGUGUUUAAGAAAUUAAUCUUCCAACAUCAGGAAUAUUACCAUUAUUAUUCAAGUGCAUAGGCGAAACUACAUGUCAGGCCAGUCAGGUCAUGGCUUGACCUUAUACCAACAAAAAAUAUUUAUGAUGAAUUCAUUUUUUCUGAAUGAAGCUCAGAUUCAAGUAUUCAGAGAAGUGACAAGUACCUAAAAAGAUUUUUACAACCAUAUACUUAUCGUUAUUUUUGAAACUGAUUUUAAAUAGUUUAGCAUUAAUUUAUAUAUAUAAGAUGUGUUAAGAAUAAACAAAUAUCAAAUAAUUUCUAUCAUUGUUAUUCAUUAAUUACUCAUAUUAUAGAAUAGGCCUAAUCCUAGAUCUUUGUACCUAGGAAGGCAAAUUGUAAAAUUUUAAUUUUUACAUAUUAUAACUAUCCACCUAUCUAAUUGUUGUGACUAUUUUCUUCGAGUAUUAUAA